ACCUCCCGCGCAUGCUCUAUGGGGUAGAGACGCUAGGCCGGCACUGCCUAGGUGGGCCGGGCGGUGCGAGGGUCGCCUUUCAGCCUUUACCUCUACCCACUGAAAUGGAGUAGGUCGGUGAGCGCCGAUCUGCUGGAGAAUCUCAUUAUCCCAUCGGCGCUCUGCCUGCUCCUGGCCUCCAAGCCUCUGAAGCCCCUCGGGUUUCAGCUGCCGGCUACCCUCGAGCCCGUGGUGCCCACGAGAGAGGCGACUUUACGUCAGCGGCCCUGGGCUGAGAUUUGAGAACGCGACCAAGUGGAGAAUGUUGGAGCCAGAUUUUAAAAUCCUUGUCUUCCUUCUGCGUGCUACUUGAUCUAAAUGAGAUACGGCAAAGUCACAGAACCUGUUUUUAUGUUUUUGCCUGAUUCAUACGGGCUUCUCCGGUGAAGAUGGGCCUGAAGUAACGCUUGGGUUGCUUCUGACGUUAUAACUCAUCCUGUAGCUGCAGCAACCGUGGUCCUUGCAACCUCAUAAAAAUGUUGCCAGCAUUGUUUCGAUAGUGCUGCUUAAUUCUUGGAAGGUUCUUCGGACUUCACACAUUCCAGCAGUAGCUCUCUCAGCUCCUGUCCUGCACAGCUUUGAAGUGCUGGUGAUGUCAUUGAACUCUUAAGUGCAAGAUGAAACAAGUCUUUCUGGGGUUCUAAGUAGGACACAGGACUGGGCUGUGGCCCUUGGCGAGCCUCCCAAGCUAUUCAGUGAUGUUAGACAACCCACUUACCUUCUCUGAAAUUUACUUUUCUUAUAUGUAAAAUGCAGCUAUUGUACAGGACACAGCCCUGGUGAUGGCUUUCUGAGGAUGACACGAUGGAGGCUUCUCCAAUAGCUCUAAAACUGCGGUGUGGAAAACAUUCGGCAGCCUCAAAGAGCGGUCUUGUUGACCCCAACUAUAUCAUUUUUCAUCAAAAUCAUUCUUGUAAAGAAUGACCAGGCAACACUCUUUGAAAAUUGGAGGCCAUUUGCAGCUGCUCUCUGUUGAGGAAAGUGAAUAAUAGGGUGCCCUCAAGGAAUUGCAAAGGUAUCACUCAACAGAAACUUUCGUGUCUGAAGAAAACUAGAUCAUUUUAUCAUGGUAGGCAUGCUGAUAUGUUUGCUUUAAUAAAAUGCCAUAUUUCUGCCUUUAAUCUCUUGUCAACCCGCUAUUAAAAAGCCCCAAAGUGCAUGUGUGCAGCGCAUGUAAACACUUGUGGUUUUGAGGUUACCACAGAACAUACUAAUAAAGCAUGUAAUUUG
rnacentral:lncRNA from 1 species